rnacentral:rRNA from 1 species
AUUGAACGCUAGCGGGAUGCUUUACACAUGCAAGUCGAACGAGUGGCGGACGGGUGAGUAAUAUAUCGGAACGGGCCCAGUAGCGGGGGAGAACUACUCGAAAGAGUGGCUAAUAACGCAUACUAUUGGAGCGGCCGAUAUCGGAUUAGCUAGUUGGGGGGGUAAAGGCUCACCAAGGCAACGAUCCGUAGCUGGUUUGAGAGGAUGACCAGCCACACUGUGACGUAUACACGGCCCAGACUCCUACGGGAAGCAGCAGUGGGGAAUUUUGGCCAAUGGGGGAAACCCUGAUCCAGCCAUCCCGCGUGUGUGUGAAGGCCCUCGGGUUGUAAAGUACUUUUGGCAGAGAAGCGGUAUCUGCAGAAUAAGCACCGGCUAACUACGUGCCAGCAGCCGCGGUAAUUC